UACGGGGGGUGCGAGCGUUAAUCGGAAUCACUGGGCGUAAAGCGCGCGUAGGCGGUUCGUUAAGUGGGAUGUGAAAUCCCCGGGCUUAACCUGGGAAUUGCAUUUCAAACUGGCCGACUAGAGUACGGUAGAGGGAGGUAGAAUUUCCUGUGUAGCGGUGAAAUGCGUAGAUAUAGGAAGGAAUACCAGUGGCGAAGGCGGCCUCCUGGAUCGAUACUGACGCUGAGGCGCGAAAGCGUGGGGAGCAAACAGG
rnacentral:rRNA from 1 species